GUCGUAACAAGGUUUCCGUAGGUGAACCUGCGGAAGGAUCAUUGUCGAU
rnacentral:rRNA from 1 species